CAGGCUUGACAUGGCCGAAGUAGGACCGGGAAACCGGAACGACUCGUUGAGGCGAGAGCGGUCACAGAUGCUGCAUGGCUGUCGUCAGCUCGUGCCGUGAGGUGUUGGGUUAAGUCCCGCAACGAGCGCAACCCUCGUCGCCAGUUGCCUUUCUGGCGAGACCGCCGGGAUCAACCCGGAGGAAGGUGGGGAUGACGUUUCGGCAUUAGCCA
rnacentral:misc_RNA from 1 species